UACAGAGACUGCAAGCGUUAUUCGGAUUCACUGGGCGUAAAGGGUGCGCAGGCGGCCAAGUGUGUGAGGCGUGAAAGCCCGGGGCUUAACCCCGGAAUUGCACCUCAAACUACAUGGCUAGAGCAUUGGAGAGGGUAGCAGAAUUCACGGUGUAGCAGUGAAAUGCGUAGAUAUCGUGGGGAAUACCAGAGGCGAAGGCGGCUACCUGGACAAUUGCUGACGCUCAGGCACGAAAGCGUGGGGAGCAAAAGGG
rnacentral:rRNA from 1 species